rnacentral:lncRNA from 1 species
UUUGGCUGUGUAUUCCUGAGUGUCUACCCAUCAGCACCACCUCCUGAGGUGAUGGGGAGAGCUGGGGUAUCCCUGCGGACUUCAAGCAGGCAUGGGUCAGACGACACUGCCUUGGCAUUUGCAGUCUCAAAGGGCGGUAUGCCUUUUUUUUUUUUCUUUUUCUUUUUUUUUUUUUUUUUUGAGGGUUGAUUAAAAACUCCCUAGCUUGUUCCUACUCUUAACCAUCCAACAGAAACACAGACGCCUCCGACACCCACUCUACCGAGACCAUACAGCAAGGGGACACCCCAGGAAACACCCAGCUUGUGGGCAGCAAAUGUCAAGAGCAGACUGCCUACCGUAGCCAGCUCUCAGGCCACUUUUCCUCCGUACCUCAGUGUGCAGGAGUGUCUGGGCAGCUUCUAAGUUCUGGUGUAUAAUCUAAACUGGGUUAGCCUGGUCAGGGAUAAACACACGCACUCUGAUAUAAUACAGCCUUGGGAGGUACGAGUGUUUGCCUCUGUUGCUUGAUUCAUAAACCCCGCAUUCCAAGAGUCACGUUCUAUAUCUGCUGGCAGGAACUGAAAGCUUUUUGUUGUGUGUUUCAUUCCUUUCAACCAAGCAGCUACCAGGACUAAAGGCGAGCAGUCACUGCCAAUUCGCCCAAGGGCGGUGGGGGGGGGGGGUAAAGCCACGGGUCCGGGUUAAUGUUUGCUUCUGUUUCUGUUUAUAUCUUCUGGGUAGUGUGUAAGGACUCUGCCUAAUGAUUAUGUUUCUCCUGAAAGGUUAAUCAGUGUCUAGAGGGCCAGCUACAGACCACCGAAGAGACACAGGAAGGUUGGACUCCAAACUCUUGUCCCCAAGGGCCGUGUCCCUGAGCAGGACGACAAGAAAGUUACAGUGAGUAGUGGAAGCGGCUGGCGCACGCUGGGUCUGCUACUGGUUAUCUGGUCAUCGUUGUGAGAAGCACUGGAGUCCAACCGCAACGGGUACACCACUGUGACGUGAUGUGACAUGGAUUACCCAGAAUACCUAAGCCACAGCCACACUUCCUCUGGCCCUGGUAUCACCUUGAAUGGAGCCCUGAUAAUAUUCCACUAAGUCUUUUUUUUUUUUUUCUCUUGGAAUUUUUGGCCAGAAGACGCCUCUUCCUCCCUGCAAAGCGUCCAGAUAUGUUCUCUAUGGUAAUUACCUCCACGGGCAGCUGGAUCCGACUUGGAUUUUGUGGAGUAUACGGUGAGGUUCUGCGGGGGAAGCAUCGAAUCUUCCAAGUAAACAAACACCUGGAAGGCACUGCUCAAAGCAAGAAGUCGGUGCUGCAAAAGUAACUGAGCAUGUUGGCUUUUCCCACACAGCAGUUUUACUGUUGUGGCCCUUCAAACAAGAAAGACACGGGAAGCCUCACGAGGGGAUGCUUAAAGCGGGCAUACUUUACCGAAGGGCUUUAAAUAACUGGUGAUGUGGACAGAGAUGACAAAGAGCAAGAGGCCAGGGAACCCAAAUGUCUGCUUCCUACUUACAGUUUUGGUGUCUUUUGCAAAAUAAAUAAAUAAAUAAAUGGCA